rnacentral:rRNA from 1 species
AGGGGAUCUUCGGACCUUUCGCUAUGAGAUGAGCCUGCGUUGGAUUAGCUAGUUGGUGGGGUAAGGGCCCACCAAGGCGACAAUCCAUAGCUGGUCUGAGAGGACGAUCAGCCACACUGGGACUGAGACACGGCCCAGACUCCUACGGGAGGCAGCAGUGGGGAAUAUUGGACAAUGGGCGCAAGCCUGAUCCAGCAAUACCGCGUGUGUGAAGAAGGCCCUAGGGUUGUAAAGCACUUUCAAUUGGGAGGAAAACCCACCGGCCAAUACCCGGUGGCUUGACAUUACCUUUAGAAGAAGCACCGGCUAACUCCGUGCCAGCAGCCGCGGUAAUACGGAGGGUGCGAGCGUUAAUCGGAAUUACUGGGCGUAAAGCGUGCGUAGGCGGCCCGUUAAGUCAGAUGUGAAAGCCCCGGGCUCAACCUGGGAACUGCAUUUGAAACUGGCGGGCUAGAGUUUGGUAGAGGGGAGCGGAAUUUCAGGUGUAGCGGUGAAAUGCGUAGAUAUCUGAAGGAACACCAGUGGCGAA